rnacentral:lncRNA from 1 species
UAUAGUUAAAUAUUUGGUUUCUCUAUCCAUUUAAUAGUGUAGUUGGCCGAGUUUAAUAACAUCUACCUAACACAAACAGGUAGGUUUCCCCAAUCCUAUAAGUGUUUUACAGGUUUUUAUUUUAACUUGUUUUCUAAGAAGUCUAAUUUCCACAACUAUGUCCCAUGUCCAUUCCAUGUCACUGCUUAUUGACCCACUUCUAUAUUCUAUAAGUAACCCAAGUUAAUAACACCCAAAAUAUCGUCAAAAUACUUUUCAGUCAAGAUAUGCACC